AUUGAACGCUGGCGGCAGGCCUAACACAUGCAAGUCGAGCGGAGCGGCGGACGGGUGAGUAAUGCCUAGGAAUCUGCCUGGUAGUGGGGGAUAACGUCCGGAAACGGGCGCUAAUACCGCAUACUAUCAGAUGGGCCUAGGUCGGAUUAGCCAGUUGGUGGGGUAAAGGCCUACCAAGGCGACGAUCCGUCACUGGUCUGAGAGGAUGAUCAGUCACACUGGAACUGGGACACGUUCCUGACUCCUACGGGAGGCAGAAGUUGUGGAUAUUGGACAAUGGGCUAAAGCCUGAUGCAGCGACGCCGCGUGGGGGAUGAAGGCUUUCGGGUUGUAAACCUCUGUCGCUAUCGAACGGGUAGGUGGAGAAGAAGCGCCGGCUAACUACGUGCCAGCAGCCGCGGUAAUAC
rnacentral:rRNA from 1 species